AUGAUCAGGAGCUUGCUCCUGUGAUUAGUGGCGAACGGGUGAGUAACACGUGAGUAACCUGCCCCUGACUCUGGGAUAAGCGUUGGAAACGACGUCUAAUACUGGAUAUGAUCACUGGCCGCAUGGUCUGGUGGUGGAAAGAUUUUUUGGUUGGGGAUGGACUCGCGGCCUAUCAGCUUGUUGGUGAGGUAAUGGCUCACCAAGGCGACGACGGGUAGCCGGCCUGAGAGGGUGACCGGCCACACUGGGACUGAGACACGGCCCAGACUCCUACGGGAGGCAGCAGUGGGGAAUAUUGCACAAUGGGCGAAAGCCUGAUGCAGCAACGCCGCGUGAGGGAUGACGGCCUUCGGGUUGUAAACCUCUUUUAGUAGGGAAGAAGCGAAAGUGACGGUACCUGCAGAAAAAGCACCGGCUAACUACGUGCCAGCAGCCGCGGUAAUACGUAGGGUGCAAGCGUUGUCCGGAAUUAUUGGGCGUAAAGAGCUCGUAGGCGGUUUGUCGCGUCUGCUGUGAAAUCCCGAGGCUCAACCUCGGGCUUGCAGUGGGUACGGGCAGACUAGAGUGCGGUAGGGGAGAUUGGAAUUCCUGGUGUAGCGGUGGAAUGCGCAGAUAUCAGGAGGAACACCGAUGGCGAAGGCAGAUCUCUGGGCCGUAACUGACGCUGAGGAGCGAAAGCGUGGGGAGCGAACAGGAUUAGAUACCCUGGUAGUCCACGCCGUAAACGUUGGGCGCUAGAUGUAGGGACCUUUCCACGGUUUCUGUGUCGUAGCUAACGCAUUAAGCGCCCCGCCUGGGGAGUAC
rnacentral:rRNA from 1 species